rnacentral:lncRNA from 1 species
AGAUGGUGAAGAAAAUCCAAAGGUACUUGUGAAUACAUUUGAUGCAUUAGAGCUAGAGCCACUCAAAGCUAUUGAAAAAUACAAUUUAAUUGGAAUUGGACCAUUGAUUCCUUCAUCAUUCUUGGGUGGAAAAGAUUCAUUGGAAUCUUCAUUUGGUGGUGAUCUUUUUCAAAAGUCAAAUGAUGACUACAUGAAAUGGUUAAACACAAAGGCCAGAAGUUUUUAUUUUUAUAAUAAUUGAAUUAAAAAAAAUAAUAAUAACAGAAACAUAUCCAAGACAACUCAUGUCAUGCAUGACAAAUUCUGAAAUUGGGCUUACUGGCUACUGCAUGAAAGGUAUGGCUCACUAACAAAUAUAAAAUACUAGUGCCCAUAACGAUGUGAUGGAGUAGCGAGUUUACUCUGUCUUUAGUUAGAGGUCUCGAUUUUCCUUGAAGUCUUAACACAUCCAUCUUUAGGAUGUUUUGUACGUCUCGCACUGUGGAUGGAAUUCGACUCUGGAGAGCCUGUCGUCAGGCGUACCUGUGGUGGCAUUUCCUCAUUGGACAGAUCAAGGGACUAAUGCAAAAUUGAUUGAAGAUGUUUGGAAGACAGGUGUCAGGAUGAGAGUGAGUGAAGAUGGUGUGGUUGAGAGUGAAGAGACAAAAAGGUGCAUAGAAAUUGUAAUGGAUGGUGGAGAAAAAGGAGAAGAAAUGAGAAAGAAUGCACAAAAAUGGAAAGAAUUGGCAAGAGAAGCUGUGAAAGAAUGUGGAUCUUCAGAAGUGAAUCUAAAAGCUUUUGUUCAAGAAGUUGGCAAAAGUUGUUGAAAAAUUAAAUUUCAUGAUGAGAAAUUGUUUUCCUAAUUGUAAUUUUCUUCUUUUUUUCACUACAAAAUUAAGAGUUCUAUACAUUGACCACGUAAAAGAAUUAUUAUAAUUUACUUUUCUUUAUAAGUAAACUUACUUAACCUAGAAAAUAUGGCAUGCAACCAGUCGGACUCACCCUAAAUUCAAAAUUUUCAAUACAGAAUAUGAAUUUACGUGAAGAAAUGAAAAAAAUACAAGAAAUAAUAGAUAUGACUUCUAAAUCUUUUUAAAAUAAGUGGGUUAGAUACUUAGAACUUGAAUCUAUAGAUUUUAAAUUUUGAAUAUACGUUUCUACUUAUUAAAAAUUAUAAUCGAUUAAAUUACGGACAUAAAUUCUAUGCGUUAAUUGUAUCAAAAGAUUACACCAUCAAGUUGAUCACUUUAAAUGCAACUAUAAGUAAUUCCUUAUGCAAAUAUUAAUCAAAAUAGGAUGAAAUCUUCUGUGUAAGAAUUCUUUUACACCGUCAACAUACAUAAAAUUAUAUCUUAAAUCAAAUCUAUGUUUUAAUUUUGUCAUUUUCAUAUAUUAGUAAAUAAAGACUAUGCCUCGUACAAUUCAAUUUAAUUUUUAUCAAUCUGUCCAUUGAAUCAAAAUAUGAAACCUUGUGAUGUGAAAGAUCACUGCCAUGGAGAGUAUAAAUUUUGAGUUAAAAUUAUUAAAUUUUAUUUAAUCUUUCGUUGUUAUAGUUCUUUUCUCACUAGGUUUUGGAUGACUUAUGGAUUACUAUAUUUCUUGUUUUUAUUAAUUAAUGUUACGCAUUACUUUGAGGUGAGUGACUAUCGAGAAUAACUUCUCUAUCUUCAUUAUAUAGGGAUAAGACAACGUACACACCACUCUUUUCAAACCUCACUUAUGAAAUGGCACUGUAUAUAUUAUUAUUGUUAUUAUUGUAGUUUAAUAUAGCACAUGUUUAUUAUUUAAUCAAAUUGAAAUAAUAUAAAUAGUGUAUGUAGUUUAAUUAAUUAAAGGCACAUUUUUUUUAUUGAAAUAUCAGUACAACACUUUUGUUCAAUUUCAUGUAAUUUAAAGAAUGUUUAAUUGUAUUCCAUUUUAUUAAUAAGAAAAUAUUUGCUUUUCUUACAUAAAAACAUGAUGUUUGAGCUGACGAAUUGCACUCAACUGCAUGGUAACUAACACUAAUAAUUAUUGAAUCAUACAAAUUUAUUCUUACAUCAUGUACUAGUAACAACUAUGGAGAAGUUAGAUGAAUAUUCUUUUAAAAUAUUAAAAUAGAGAAUAUAAAACUGCCACAAGUUUUGUUGUAAUUUUAAAUGUGUCAUAGAAUAAUGUUGGAAUUUAAAAACUUACUAAUUAUAAAAAGAGACAUUUAAAGAUAAAUUAAAAAGAAAGUACGAUACUUAAAUUGAAACGAAGAGAGUAAUAAAUAUAUGUGGCCAUAGAUUCCAAAUACUUUUAUUUAAAAUUUAUAAAGCUGGAGUUGAAGAUUUUUUCUAUUUGAAACUUGAAAGACAAAAUCCACAACUUCUACAGCUUAUGAGAGUUUAUUUCAAAAAUGGUGAAUACUGUCACAACCCUUUUUGUGCACGGACGGUGGAGGGUUUUUUCAAUUUAAGUGAUGUUAUUGAUUUAGGAAUUAUUUUAUAUUUUUCAUAGUCGCCACUUGGAAUUGAGUUGUGGUGUUCCAAGUCACCUUUUCGAAUCCCUAAUCAAUAGGAAAUGACUCUUUUAGUUUUGGUCUGCGAACCAAAAAUUCGGGUAAGGAAUUCUGUUGAUUGAGGGGAAGGUAUUAGGCAUCCCUCGAGUCCCGUGGUUCUAGCACGGUCGCUUUUAUUGACUUAUACUUAUUUUUACUAUUUUUGGAUAUAUUGUGUCUACAGGCCAUGGUUUACUUAUUUUUAUUAUUAUUAUUAUUUUAUUGUUAAAUUUUUUAUUAGUUUGAACCUAGAUGCCUUUUCCUCUUGAGUACCUCACACCUAAUAAUUUCUAUUUACCCCUCUUGGUUUAAACUAAUGAAGGUUAGUUAUUAAAAUAGUUUGGUCAAGGUGCUUAACCACAUCCUUGAAUUUGGCCAAGAUGCGUAACCGCAUCCUUGAAUUUCUUAAGUAUCUCAAAAGAUGUAGAACUACAUUCUUAAUUGAGAUGAAAUUUAAUUAUUAUUGUUACUCAUCUAACAAAAAAAAUAAAAUGUACGUUUUCCUUUUUCUUCCUUGGUUUUGUGCCUCCGUCCGUUUUCUAACCUUUUCUUUAAAAAAAAUAUUUUUGCUGCUUUGGUUAUUAUUUUAUAUUUUUUCCUUUUUCUUUGUUUUUUUUUCAUUCUGUUUCUCUUUUCUUGUUUUUAUUACGUUUUUUAACGUUUCUGUUCCUUUCUUCUUCUUCUUUUUUUGUUGUGUCGUAUAUGUAGGCAGGUAGUGUCUAUAUUGUUUUUGUUUUAUUUUUUAUUUCUUGUUAUUUGAAAGGAAAAAAAUAGUAAGCAUUGUAUAUCAAUCCAACAAUUAUCUUUCUCAAAAUAAUAUUCAAUAGCCUACUUUAGAUGAUAAUUAACACUAGCAUUAAAUAAAUAACAAAUCAAUUUUACCUCACAAAUUCCUCAUUCAAUAUUAUCAUAAACUAUUUUACUAAUUUAACACAUUUAGGCUAAUAACGAAAGAGACUAUAUUUUAAACAGUUAAAUGCAUAUUUACAAUAAAGUAUCAAUACUAAAAAUAAUGAGAGAAAUGUAAGGCGUACUAUCGGAAUCAACUUUAUAGAUUACCUAAUACAUGGAAUCAUUUAAAUAACUUUGUUCAUGCUUUAAUUCACAAAUAAAUAUAUUAAAAAUAAGUAAAAGGAAACAGAAUAGGAAUUUGUGUGGUAAAAAUAGGAGCAAGAACGAUAUCACCGGAUACUAGACAUAAAGAUCAAAAUACGAUACUAUACAAAAUUUAUUCUAAAUUUAACAAUAUACACAUAUUUACCGUAUUUCAAUAUUAUAAUGAAAAGGUUGAACAAACAUAGAAUUUGAGCCAAUUCAUAACAUUGGAAUAAAUACUAUAUAAUCAUGAAAAUCAAAUUAUAAAAUAAAUGUUAAAUAGUACCUCUUGCGAAAAUCAAACUCACGAAAAGAAAGCAAUCCUAAUAGGAAACCACGAAAGCAAACCUUAAAUUCAACCUUUAUUUGUGAGUGGAGAAAAAUAUGUAUAAUAAAAGGACGAAUACGUAUGUGUUGUACGCGUGGAGAAAGAAGUAUGUAGGUGUAUUAUAUAGGAAUUAGGAUAGGUGUAGGAGUGGGGCAGUGGGUUGUAUCGUGUGGGGUGUGGAAUGUGGAGAAAAACAUGAGGGAGUGGGAGUGUGGGUGGAUUUUGUUAGAUUAUUUAGGUUAUUUUUUUAUGUUAGUUUUAGUUUUAUUAACUAUACAUAUAAAUAAUAAAUUAUAAUAAAAUAUCAACUAAUUAAAAUAAUAAUAAAACUAACAACAAAACAGCCCGCAAACGCACAUAAUUGAAAUUUAAAGNNNNNNNNNNNNNNNNNNNNNNNNNNNNNNNNNNNNNNNNNNNNNNNNNNNNNNNNNNNNNNNNNNNNNNNNNNNNNNNNNNNNNNNNNNNNNNNNNNNNNNNNNNNNNNNNNNNNNNNNNNNNNNNNNNNNNNNNNNNNNNNNNNNNNNNNNNNNNNNNNNNNNNNNNNNNNNNNNNNNNNNNNNNNNNNNNNNNNNNNNNNNNNNNNNNNNNNNNNNNNNNNNNNNNNNNNNNNNNNNNNNNNNNNNNNNNNNNNNNNNNNNNNNNNNNNNNNNNNNNNNNNNNNNNNNNNNNNNNNNNNNNNNNNNNNNNNNNNNNNNNNNNNNNNNNNNNNNNNNNNNNNNNNNNNNNNNNNNNNNNNNNNNNNNNNNNNNNNNNNNNNNNNNNNNNNNNNNNNNNNNNNNNNNNNNNNNNNNNNNNNNNNNNNNNNNNNNNNNNNNNNNNNNNNNNNNNNNNNNNNNNNNNNNNNNNNNNNNNNNNNNNNNNNNNNNNNNNNNNNNNNNNNNNNNNNNNNNNNNNNNNNNNNNNNNNNNNNNNNNNNNNNNNNNNNNNNNNNNNNNNNNNNNNNNNNNNNNNNNNNNNNNNNNNNNNNNNNNNNNNNNNNNNNNNNNNNNNNNNNNNNNNNNNNNNNNNNNNNNNNNNNNNNNNNNNNNNNNNNNNNNNNNNNNNNNNUAUAUAUAUAUAUAAAAAUUUAAGUAUACUAAAUUGUUAAUUAUUUUAAUAUCCACUUUAUUUUUAUUUUUUAAAUAUGUAAUCAACUAAAAAAGGUGAGCCAUGAUAAUUAAAAUAAAGAUAUACACAAUAGUAUUGGUCACCCGAGAUGAUAAAGUUGGUGGGGCCCACUUAAAUUAAAUAAAGAUGGAUAUAUGUGUCAUUAUGGAGAUGUUGGCUGGCUUUUUUGUCUAAAGAAGAAAAGGUACAAUUAUAAAGCACUGCCAUACAAGAGUUUUAAGGAGCAAAAGAUAGCAAAUACCGUAAUUCUAAACAUUAAUUGCAAGGGGCAACGACCAAAUUGCACUUGAGCUUUUCUAAAUAUGGCAAAAAACAUCCAUGUUGAAAGUUUGAAAACUCUCCCUUCUAUAUAAUAGAAAUUUAUUUAUUUUUCUAACAAUCUUUGACUCAUUCCGGCAUGUUUUAUGAUAUUAAAACAAAGCAAAAUCUCAUACUACUUUGUUUUAAUCACAAUUAUUAAUAAUGUAAAAUACUUUUAAAAGAUUAUUAUCAAAGAAAAUAUUUUUUUAAAUGUCCAACAAGUUUAAUAUAUUGAAAAUAUCUUUUUUUAUUUUUUUAUUUUCAAAUCUUUUAAAAUAAACUUACUAAAAUAAAACAAAAAUCAAAAUAUCUAACUUAACCUAAAAUAAAUAUUUAAGGAAUAAAAACAAAAUGUAAAGCCUUAUGUUUGGUCAAAAAUUACGUGUCUACAGCUUGCCCCUCUUUGACUGGAAACACGAAGAGUUUUCAGACAAGGAAGUAGACAACGCGACAAAUUUUGACCGGACUCUUAUUUGAGAGGAGAGAGAGAGAGAGAAAAAAAAGUCUGAAUCCUUGUUUUGGACAGCCUACAUAUCUCGGGUUGUAAAGGAAUCAGGUCAGGUGUAGUUCAAGACGAUGAAGUGAUGAGUUGGAAGUUAAGUGAGGCUCCAUCGAUGCUCCAGUUCGCGGCUCCUAUUGUUACAUGAAUAUAUAAAGACAAAAAAUUUAAAGAAAAUACAAGUACAAGAUUUUAUCUAUGUAGCUUCUCUUGAACCUUGACUUGAGUCUUCAUGCUUCUUGAGUUAUGAGAUAUUUAUUUUCAUCUCAAAUGAGUUCAAAGGUAAACGCCUUUCUCCGGGUAGGUUCCUUUUACUCGUACUUGGAUAUAGAUUGUGUUUUUUAGAAUGAGCUCAUGCUUCUUCAAUUGAAAUUGAGCUUGAAAGUUAGACUAUUUUCCAUCUAAGAUCCUGAGCUUGAAAUGUGGAUUGACUCCAUUCUAUCAAUGGAUUCUUGAAAUUAAAAUAAACAAAGAAAUAACACAAAAUUUUGCCCCAGUUUAUAUCAAAGAAAAUGUACUCUUUAGAGGGCUUAUGCGUGUUUACACCAACUCCAUUCCUCAUGAUAAGAAAUAAAAUAUGGUGCUUAGCUUUGAAUCGAGACUUUGAACGACUCGAGCUUUGUUGCGAGGUACUCUUUAGAGGGCUUAUGCGUGUUUACACCAACUCCAUUCCUCAUGAUAAACCGGUUAAAUUAAAUUAUGUUAGUCUAGUCCCAUUAUCCAGGAGGGUCCUGUUAGUCCCAUUAUUCAGGAGGGUCCUGAUACUCCCAUUAUCAAGGAGGGUCCUGCUAGUCCCAUUAUCCAGGAAGGUCUUGUUAAUACGUUCAGUAGACUAAUAAUACAAACAAAACAUUUACCCCAGUAUGGACCAUAAUUUUAUUUUAUUUUUAGUGUUAUCUAAAUUAUUUGCGGAACAUUCAAGAAAAGUUGAUUCAAUCUCUCAGGUAAUUGUUAUUUUGAUAUAUAUAUAGACCAACUUCCCUGUAAUGGGGCUCCACAAACCUUUAUUGCAAUGUUGUUAUUUUGCUUUUUGUAGACUAAAUUGAAUAUCUAGGUUUUUCAGAUCCUUGAUCUUGAAAUAACUUGUACCCCUGCUACAACAAAGAAAAUUUGUGAGUUUAAAAAUGUGGUGGUUGGUUUGCGGUUCUGCCUUUUGAUGAGGAUUGCUCGAGUACUUGUCAUGUUCUACUUGUUUCCAAACGACCAAUGCUCGUUACUGAUUGACUGCAUUUUCGCCAAAAUUUGUUUACUUUGAGGGACUUAAAUCCAAUAUCUUCAUUUGUUUCACGACACUCAUUGUUUAUCCUUUAAUUAAAUUAGGGACUUUUUCUGAAUCCAAAACUUGCCGAUAGAUGAUAAUUCACUGGCCUGAUGCUUCGCCUUGUACAAUUCGAAGAGUUGGUAGCGAGUCUUGAAAUCCUUUCCUAGUUUCUUGACACAGACUCAACUCAAAUACAUAUAAAACAAAGUGAUGAAAAGUGGAAGAAAAACAUAUACUCCACAAGAAUAGAAGAAAAUGAUUCGAAGAAGAACCUCUUUUAGAGAGGGGAAGAAAGAAAACUUAUCUGAGUGUGGUAGCCGACUCUAUUGAUCAUGACAUGCUUUGAAUUGAUUACCCAAUUUGUCCAUCCAAUUAUUCAUCAACCAUUAUUGAUCCUUUAAUUUUAUGUGGGGUCUCAACAUUUAACGAAGUCAUAAUCAGUUUCAAACCCUUAUUCGCCUUAUGAUGUCCAUGCGGGUUUUUGCCACUAAGACUCUUUCAUUUUGAUUCUUUCAACUUACAUUCGCCUUAUGGUGCCCGUUAGGGUUUUCACCAACAAAGCUCUCUCAUUUUUAUUUCUCUCAACUCACCUUCGCCUUAUGGUGCCCGUUAGGGUUUUCACCAUUAAAACUCUCUCAUCUUUAUUUCCCUCACUCAUAUUCGCCUUAUGAUGCCCGGUUAGGAUUUUCACCAAUAAGACUCUCUCUUUUUUUUUACUGCUCACUUUCACUUUACGGUGCCCAUUUAUGAUCUUCACCAAUAAAACUCUCAUUUUUGUUUCUCUCAACUCACACUCGCCUUAUGACGCCCAGUUAGAGUUUUCACCAAUAAGACUCUCUUAUGAUUUCAUCAUUUGUACCCAUAACAUACUUACUCUUGACAUUUCAAAGGUUGAUCCAAAGGUCUUUCUUUGAUUGAAACGCGACUUUUACAAGGUUAGAAAGAAAUGACAGGAAGAAGGCUCAAAUACGACUUUAAAUGAUGGGGUUGACCUUAGCUUCGGGAUAAAAGAAAAUAAAAUAAAAAUAAACAUAAAAGAAAAUGACUUUUUCCCCAGUUUUUACAAUAUGAAAUUUUGGAUUUUUUAUUUGGUUGGACCGAACCCCAACGUAAGGGUUGCCUACGUAUCUUGCCGAAACAAGAAUCAGGUCAAACGUAGUUCAUGAUGGUGAUUUUUUUUUCUUCUUCUUCUUUUUUGUCUCUUUUUUUAAAAAAGCUUUUUUUUUUAGAAGAACGAAGGAAGUAGAAGAGCCAAGGAAGUAAUUAAAUCUCAACAAAGGUAGCCAAAUAUGACUUAAUACUUAGACACAGAACCAAGAAUUUCCAUUACAUCAACCUUUGAAUUGUCAAGUCCAAACAUGAGGGUUUCUAAUACUGAGAAAUCAAAUCAUAUAUGAUAUCUUUUCACGGCAUCAGCAUUGACGGCCAUUUCUGUCAUUUUUCCUUCUAUAUCUGCUAAGUAAAGAGCACCAUUAGAUAAUAUCUUCUUUACAAUGAAUGUUCCUUUCCAAUAUGGAGAAAAUUUGCCUUUGACUUCGGCAUGAUGUGGCAGAAUGUGUCUCAACACUAUAGACCUCAUAUGGAUUCCUGUUUAUUUGUGUAAAGAUAUGACACCUGGCCUAACCCAAAAGCUAGCUCGUAAGGGGAGGUUCGUCCAAAUCCAUAUAAGGAUAUCAAAUUCCUAUCCCUUUACCGAUGUGUGACAUCUUAACACUCCCCCGCAUCCAGACUUCAACUGGAGCAUGACCACUUCUAAAUGGAGGCCAUCAUCGGUGAACAACAAACUGAGACCCAUCUUAACACUCCCCCGCAUCCAGACUUCAACUGGAGCAUGAACACUUCUAAAUGGGGACCAUCAUCGGUGAACAACAAAUUGGGACUCCACACGCCCAGAUCUCAACUGGAGCGUGAACACUUCUAAAUGUGGGCUCAUUAUCGGUGAACAACAAAUUAGGAUGUGCCUAGCUAGCUUUGAUACCAUUUAAAAUAUAUGACAUGGGUCUAACUCAACCCUAAAUGAUAGCUCAUGAGGGAAGGUUUGUCCAAGUCCAUAUAAGGAGACCAAAUUUCCAUUCCUCUACCGACGUGGGACAUCUUAACAAUUUGAUUUCAAUUUUUGCUAUUUAGGGACAAAGGCCUAGGUUUUAUCAUUGAUUUAAUCGAUCGAACUAAGGAGUAAUUUUUAUCUAUAUUUUCUAUUUGUACUAAGAAAUUGUUAACUUUCAAGAACCAAAAUCUUUUAAACCAUAAGCUUUAGAGACUUUGCCUCUGUUGCUACUAUGUAUGUAUACCUUCAAGAGAAGCACGACAUUUUCCUCCAAUAGAAAGAUUAUCAAAACAUGUGAAAUUAGAAAUAAGGAAGAACCUAUAUUUAUGGUAAAUAUAUGUUGUCCUUCCUUCAAGAGAAAGGAAAAUCAAAUAUGAUUAAAAAAAUAAAAAAUUAGAACAAACAAUAACAUCAGAUAAUAGUACACAAAAGCUCGAAUUGAUUCUUGUUUAAUAAAAUUAUCACGCUGUAAAUCAACAAAACUCAAAGUUAUGUCUCUUUCACCUUCAAGUUUACCUACUAUUAUAGCAUGACAUACAUAUCAUUUCAAAAUGAAAAUAAACCAGCUUCAAUACAACUUCAUAUGUUAUAUAUUGUUACAUUUUAUUAAAAGAAAAUAUGAGUGCAAAGACAACACACCCCCUACCCACCCACCCCAAACACACAUAAUUACUUCAUAUAUUAUUGUUACAUUUUAUUAAAAGAAAAUAUGAGUGCAAAGACAACACACCCCCUACCCACCCACCCCAAACACACAUAAUUACUUCAUAUAUUAUUGUUACAUUUUAUUAAAAGAAAAUAUGAGUGCAAAGACAACACACCCCCUACCCACCCACCCCAAACACACAUAAUUGCAGUAAUCACUUAUAAAUAUUGGAACCAUUAUUGUUUGCUUAAAACGUACACUCAAUGAGUAGUUCGAUUAUCCAAAUGGUGUACUAUUGACAGAGCCAACAAACAACAAGGUGAUUGUGUCUUUAAGGAAGUUUCUUGAAUCUGUAAAAUCAUCCUCUUGGAGAAUAUUUACGAGGCGUGAAAAAUUUAAGGCAGGUUCGAGGACAAACGUUGGUACUUGGGUAGCAUGUAAAUAAUCAGUGUUUAUAUCUUUCCAUGCAUUCACAAUUUGCCUUUGAGCCUCAACAUAUGCCUCUUGUUUUGAAGCUCCAUAUUCUUUCAUGUAACAUUCAAUGAAUGAAGCUCCAUGUUCCCUUUGUUGUUCGUGCUGCAUGCAUCAAAUACAAUUCAGUAUGACGUUUAAAUUAAACAUCUAUUUUUAUAAGUUCAAACUAUAUAAUAUGUUAGCGUAUUAUACUUACUUAUAUAUAUAUAUAUACUUACUUCAUGUCCAAUAAUAUCGUCCUUUAAUCUAUUGAUUAGUAAUGUAGCUGGAGCGAUCAAAGACUCAUUUAUCAUCCAUUCGAAAGUCUCGUUAGAUAUAAAUUCGUCCGCAACAGUCAAAGAAGUAAUCAAAAGCAAUUGAAUGGCAACAGUUAGAGUAGCGUUUUUCUUAUAUUCCUCGCAUUUUGGAAUAAUAUCAUCUCUCAACCAUUCCGCUUCCUUAAGAUAACUUCUGAUCCACUUAUUUAUCUAAAAAUAAAAUAAAAUAUAUUGAUUAGAAGCAUUAAUUAUUUGUAAUCAUCAGUGAUAUCAAUCUCCGGUUUAACUGAAUGAUGGGACCACUUACCUCAAUUUUUGCAUAGUAGACGUAGUCUAUUUUACCAUCUUUGGUCAAUUCUUUUUCCAUUUCAUCAAAGUAAUCUAAAAAGACUUGAUAAAGUGGUCUCAUAUAGGGUGAUAUCGAAUCCAUAGCACUAAUAUCACAUCUGCACAUGCAUAAAUUUAUAACACAUAUUUUUUACUCAAAAUGUAACAACAUUAUAUUGUAAAGAGUUAAAGUAAUUAAGUUUUACCUCUCGACUGCAUCGGUGUAAGGCACAAGUUCGUCAUAAGUUGCAUAAGCAUCAUAGAGAUCAUCAGUGAUGGUAAUGAUAACCAUUAUUUUUGUUAUCGUCCUUCUUGCAUUUCCAUAUUGAGGCCCAAAAUACACCCCCAUUGCCCAAAAAUAACAUUCCACCAGUCUGUCUCUUGCAUAUGGAUUUUUGUUUUCAUUAUCCAAAUCCUUCCACCACCUAUAUAUGUAUAUAAUAUUUAUAAUAUAUCACACAAUGUGUGUAUAUAUAUAUGUAUGUAUGUAUGUGUGUGUGAGAGAGAGAGAUUAAUUAAAGAUAAUAUAUGUAUAAAUUUAUAUACCUUGUAAGUUCACUAAGCUCUCUUCGGUAAAUCUUUUGCAAAAUGUGGAAGUCCAAUUUUGCAAAUUUCAAAAGCAAAUCAUCAUGUGAUUCAAUGGUCUCAUAAAUACGUAUGUAUUUACGAGCUACCACUCUUGGUACAUUUGUAUGAAUGGGCUGGAUCAAGGCUUCACUAACUUGGGCCUUGAGUGAGUUGUCCAAUUUAGGGCCCAUGGACUUGAGAUGAGUGAUGGUAAAAGUUAGAGCUUCUUCAAGAAUUUCUUCUCCGUGUACUCUUAGAUGUGUUACUUCGUAUAAACUUAAUAAGCCUGGAACAUCUUUAGUAAGAGUUUCCUUGAAUUUUCCGUCGUCGCUGGUGAAUUUUUUGAACACAUCUGAUUAAUUGUCGUCAUAGUUAGAUAUUAAACAACCUUUUUGGAGAUAUAUACUAAAGUUUUUACUUAUAAGCCUCAUAUAAGUACUAUAAAUAUUAUAUUUUUCAAUUUAUGAAAAAAUUGAAUUCAUAAAGAUUAAAUUCUGAAUUCAUCUCGUCAAUAUUUUACUUUUGACCAGAAAGGAAUUAGUAAUCAACAUUGAUAAGCUACAUAGGAUAAUUAGAGUAGAGAUACGAUACCAGAAGACAUGCAAUGCCUUUGUCGUCUCACUAGUCUAAAACGAAGAGCAACAAUGCAAAGAUCAUCGUCGUUAUCUUCAUUUUUAUUUUGUUCGGAUUCAUCAAAAAUAUUUUGAAUGGAUGUUUUGAUUUCGUUUUCGAAAUGAUAUGCCACUCCCAAUCGUUGGAUUGUAUCAAUCAAGACAAGUUUUUGUGUACUAUUAUCAGGAGUUUCCACUAACAUUUGCCUGACUUUUUCUUUCAAUUCUUCAAGUUCAACUUUUUCUUGGCUACUAAUUUCCUGCACCAAAUGUUUAAGUGUUAUUAUAUAUUGUUCUACUACCUAUAAAUAGCAACAAAUGCAAUACAAUAAUAAUAAUAUAAUCAGUAUAACUCUAUAUGUGGGAUUAAAAGAAGCUAGAGUGCAUCUUACCUCUACCUUGUGGAGGUACAACCGUACAUGUACUAUUUCAGUAGUAAAAAUGACAUAUCAUAUAAUAGGAACAUGGAACGAUAACAAUAAUUAAACAAUACGAUAACCAAAGCACAUAAAUAAUGAGAGGUAAUAGAAAUCGUAGGAUGAGAAAUUAUGAAAAUAAUGCUAGCUACUAGCUACUACUGAUCAUGAUAUAAACAAAAAACAAUUAAGAUUUAUCAAAUUUAUCACCAAAUCUAUCUCACAGAAAAACGAAACAUACUGUGAGUUGAGGAGUGUAGGAAAGGAAAUAAUCUCCCCAAACACUUGAAUGAUAAUUUGCCAAUGGACGUGUGAUAGUAGGAUCAACCAUUGCUUAUAAUUGAUUCUUAAUUUUUUUUCUCUCUCUAAAAUGCUUUAAUUAUUACAAUUUGAGAUAUGUUGCUAUAUUUGGUGAGGUAUUUUAUAGGGAUUUCGCUCAACAUCAUUAUCGUUUGAGCUGUCAAAAUGGGAUUGGCCCGCUAGGUCGGCCCAACCCAAUUCUUGAAUUAAAUGGGGUUGGGCUCAAUUUUUUCAGCCCAUUUAGGAACGAGGCUUUUUAUCCUAGCCUCAUUUGGCCCGCUGGCCUCGUAGGCCCAACCUGCAACCCUCAUCCGCCAGCCCGCGGGCUGUGAAUUUUAAAAAUAUUUAUUAUAUAUAUAUUUUAAGUAGUGUUUUACUUGUUAAGAUUUUGUCAAUAAAUAUUUUUAAAAUAUCAAUAUAAAAUCAAGACUAUAUUUUUUACAUUUUAGGGUCAUUAGCCCACUAAAUUUUCUUAUUAGCCCAAAUUCAUUGCUCCAUUAUAAAUAUGAAUCUUUGACCUCUUUUACUUUUGUUUUUAUGCCUAAUUUUUCACUUCUCCUUUAUUGUCUUGUUUAUGAAAAUAAUGAUCCUGUAAUGUUUUUUGCUCGGAUGAAUCUUAUGAAUGUUGUAUCUUGGCUAUUAUGUAUUUGUUUUGUAAAUAUUCACUAAAAUAUGUGUAAUUCAUGAAUGAAUUUAUGUAUGUAUUGAUGUCGUGUCAAUCGGACAUCAACGUUUGUAUACUUUCUAAGAGGAAAAUGUUGUUCGUUUUUUGGUUGAAAGGCCAACCCGUGGCCCGCUUAGGGCUGGUUUGGGCUGCUAUUUUAUCGGCCCUUUAAUUAAAAGGGCUAGCCCGUCCCAACCCAUUUAACUCUCUAGCCUGUUAGGGUUGGGUUGGGCCAGCCCAUUUUGACAGCUCUAAUUAUCGUUCUUUUUUUUUUUUAAUUAUCAAUGGACGUGUGAUAGUAGGAUCAACUAGGGGUGUGCAUUCGGUUUUUCGGUUUGGUUUUGCACUAUUUGAUUUGGAUUUUUUGGUUUUUGAUUUUGUAAAAGUGUAAUCCAAUCCGAUCCAAAAUCAAUUUGGUUUGGUUUUCAUCUAUUUGGUUCGGCUUUUUUCGAUUUGGUUAUUCGGUUAUGUCAAUAAUUAAUAACAUAACCAAAGUAAUAAUAUUUAAUUCCUUAAAUAUACUUUCUAAUAUAAAUCAUACUAGAAAGCACUGGCCCGUGCCAGUAGGGCCCAAUAUUAUUAAGUAUUAUUUCUUUUUUUUUGUUAAGUUUGUUUUUACGUGAAAUUGGAGAAUUUUUUUUUGAUGGAUCUAAGGUAGUGCUUCUUUUUUUUUGUUAAGUUUGUUUUUACGUGAAAUUGAAGAAAAUAAAUUUGAUGGAUGUAAGGUGGUGUUGGUUAUGUAAAAUAUUAUUUUUUCUAUAUUUGAUCAGUUAAAAUCUUUGCAAUAUAUUUUCUCUAGAAGAUAUUUUUUUUUCCUUUUAAAAUGAGGAAAUGAUUUCUAUAAUAGAUGUAUGGAAAAAAAAGUUACACAUGUUAUUCUACAUUGAUAAUGUCUUCCUCCGUUUUCAACCACACCUCAUCUUUACCCCAUAAUAUGGAGCUCCCUGCCCCCCCCCCUCCAUCUUCGUCUCCACCACCACACACAUCCCUACCCUCUACCUUCACCUCUUAUAGUAUUUGUCUAAAUUAUAUAAAAAUGCUUUUAGGAUAAUAAAUUUUGCCAACCUAUCAAAAACAAGAAAAUAAAUAAGAAACAUAUUUAUUUUCCUAGAAAUCAUUUCUAAAAUAAUAUUUCUAAUCUUUACAAACACAUCCUAAGUAAUUAUUAAUCAUAUACUCAUAGUAUUGCAUACUAAAAAUUGAAUACGGUCUCAAUCCAUGAAUAGAUGUUGAUUGUCAAAUACUAAAUUAUUAUACUCAUGGAAACAUUAUACCAUUAGAUACUUAAAGCGACACUUUAUACACAUAUAGAGUAUUACUAUUUAUACAUUAGCGACAGAUGAUACAUUUUUUUCAAUAGUCAUCAAGGUUCUUAUUUUUAGUUUUUUUACCAAAAACAUACUACGGAAUAAUUUUAUUAAUUAUAUUUUAAAAUUUGUUAUUAUCAUUGUUAAAAUAACAAUUAGUAUAAAAAUAAAGAAAAUGUGCAUACUCUACUAAUUAAUUUAAUUUUAGACUCUCAAUUAUCUAGGAGUGGCCCCGUGACACGGGCNNNNNNNNNNNNNNNNNNNNNNNNNNNNNNNNNNNNNNNNNNNNNNNNNNNNNNNNNNNNNNNNNNNNNNNNNNNNNNNNNNNNNNNNNNNNNNNNNNNNNNNNNGUUAAAAUAACAAUUAGGAUAAAAAUAAAGAAAAUGUGCAUACUCUACUAAUUAAUUUAAUUUUAGUCUCUCAAUUAUCUAGGAGUUUAACUUGACUAUUAGUAUUUUACAGAAUUACUUAACGAUAAUGAUAAAGUCAAGUAAAAAUAAUUAAUUUUCUUAAUUUAUUAAAAUAAANNNNNNNNNNNNNNNNNNNNNNNNNNNNNNNNNNNNNNNNNNNNNNNNNNNNNNNNNNNNNNNNNNNNNNNNNNNNNNNNNNNNNNNNNNNNNNNNNNNNNNNNNNNNNNNNNNNNNNNNNNNNNNNNNNNNNNNNNNNNNNNNNNNNNNNNNNNNNNNNNNNNNNNNNNNNNNNNNNNNNNNNNNNNNNNNNNNNNNNNNNNNNNNNNNNNNNNNNNNNNNNNNNNNNNNNNNNNNNNNNNNNNNNNNNNNNNNNNNNNNNNNNNNNNNNNNNNNNNNNNNNNNNNNNNNNNNNNNNNNNNNNNNNNNNNNNNNNNNNNNNNNNNNNNNNNNNNNNNNNNNNNNNNNNNNNNNNNNNNNNNNNNNNNNNNNNNNNNNNNNNNNNNNNNNNNUAUAAUUAGUGGAUAUGAAUUGAUUUUCGAGAAAACUCUCAGCCAAUAAGAGGAUAACAUUUUCCUUGAUUCCUAUAAUUGAUUCUUCUCAUUAUUUAUCCUUUCUACCAUCUCCUCAUUAUAUGUUAUGUCAGCUCAUUUUUACUUGUCAUAUUUGAACUUAUAUACUCAUUAAAAAAAUAAUUUAUAGGUUAAAUAAUUAAUACUAAAAAAAUAAUAGUAUAUUUUUAAAAAAAAGAUUAUUCUUAAUAUAUGAAAAUUGACAAUAAAAAUAAAAAAUUUCUUUUUUAAAUAAUGGGCAAGUAAAAGACGAAUGAAGUAUGUACUCCCUCCAACCCUUUUGACUUGUGAAAUUUUGACUUGACACGCCUCUUAAGAAAAUAAUGAUUGGUAUAAUGAGUUUAUCAUUUUACUCUUAUUAAUUGAUAAAAUUUUAAACAUAUUUACUCACUACUUUUUAUAUUAAUUUAAUGUUAAUAAAUUGAAGAUAUAAUAGGAAAAAAAAAUUCUUGAUUUGUUAAAUAUAUUUGAUAAAUAAAUAGAAACGGAGAAAAUAUCUAUGAAAUUUAUGCCAAAUGGAAGAGGGAAAAAACGGAAGUGGACCAAAGCCCACGUCUUAUGAUACCUAUGGCAAAUAGAAAAGUGAAGUUCAUCUUCAUCAUAUUCUUCAAUGACAGGGCAGGAUUUGUAAUUAAGUAAAAAAUAUUGGACUUUUCUUAAGCUCUUGCUGAGGUACAAAAAUCAAAGCAACAAAUACAACUUUUUGAAGCAAGUUUAUCUUGCAAAAUCUUUUGAACGACUUUAAUAACAUUUAUGGUAAACUUGCUUAAUCUUUUGAACGACUUUAAUAACAUUUAUGGCAAAUAGAAAGUGGGACCCAUCAUAUUCACCAUGGGCAGGGCAUAGUUUGUUAUUAAAUAGAAAAAGGAGGAUCUUUUUAAGAGCUCUUACUUAGGUUCAAAUAACAAUGCAAAAGUUACAAUAUUUUUAAGCAAGCUUAUCUUGCAAUUUUUUUAAAAAUCUUUAAUACCUCCAAACUGUAAUUUAAUGUCACAAAACUGACAUGUUGAAAAGGACUUGAAACUGUCCUUUCUAAUAUAUAGAAAAGUAAAACUUAAAACACAAUACUUAUAAGUAUUAUAGAUGUAAUUCAAACAUAAAAUAUAAAUGUAAUCAUCAUGAAAGGCAAUAACCAAAAAGGGAUAAAAGUGGUUAACUCCAACUUAAUUCUAAACCUAAACAUUAUAUAUAUCUAUAUAUAUAUAUCUAUAUAUAAAAUUCAGUUUUUUUGGUUUUUAUUUUUUAAAAUCCGAAACCAAACCAAAAAACCAAAAAACCAAACAAAGUAAUUUAUUAAUCCAAAAUCAAUCCGAAAAACCAAAAAAUCAAUCUAAAUAAAAAUUCGAUUUGAUUUGGUUAGGUUAUUCGGUUUAAUCCAAAUAGUGUACACCCCUAGGAUCAACCAUUUCUUAUAAUUGAUUCUUAAUUUUUUUUUCUCUCUCUAAAAUGCUUUAAUUAUUACAAUUUGAGAUAUGUUGCUAUAUUUGGUGAGGUCUUUUAUAGGAGUUUAACUUGUAUCCACCGUUGGUGUAUACUUUUUUUUACACUGACACAUACUUUUAAGGCAAGUUUCUUUUUUAUUAUUAAGAUUUUUAUUUUAUAAAUUUCAAAACUAUUACUAAGGGUAAAAUGAGAGAGAAAAUAAUUAAUUUUAUUUAAACUUCUAAAAUAAACGACUACUUUUAAAAAUUCACGACAUAUAACUUGAGACGGAAAGACCACUAAAGACGGAGAGUCAUUUGGAUAACUAUUAGGGUAUUUAUGACUUGACCCUUCAUAAUUACAAGAAUCCAAAAAGGAUUUUCCUCUCCAUUUUCUUUUUCUUCAUUUUUUUCAAGUAUUUAUUUGGAUAAGAUACACAUGUUAAAUCAAUAAUUGAGAUUUAUCUUUCCCUUCAAUAAUUUUUUGGCAAAUUGAAGGGAGACAAAAUAGCAUGCGUCUUUCCCCAUUAUUGAAUGAAACGACUAAUGAAUGAAUAUAUUAUUGAAUGACAUGAUUAAUGAAUGAGUAUAUUAUUGAAUGGCAUGACUUAUGAUUGAGUAUAUUAUUGACUCUAAUGAGUUCAUAGUGUUCAAAAUGAGUGAAACAAUUCAACAAAAAACCUACAAAUUUCCACAAAUAGCAGUACACCUCAUAAUUUUCCUAAUAUGCAACUAUCUUACAUUUAAUAUAUGUAUCUAAAACAAAAUUUAACCCUAUAUAUACCGUAUAAUUUAUCAAUAAAUAGGGCUAUGUAUGUACACAACACCCUUUCAGGUAAUUGGUACAAAUAUUAAUAGAAAGAAGCACCAUACUUAAAGCAGUGAUCACUUUGAAAUGGAUGUAGGCAUCAACACGAUUAUCCUGAUCAUAUAUUUGUCACGAUCCAAAAAUGGACGUGAUGACACUCAUCUUAUCCCACCAAGACAAGUCAGCUUAAAACUCAACCAUUACAAAAAAAUGCGGAAAUUUCAUAAUUAACUCAAAAAUACCCCAAAAAUCUAGCUGUCACGUGUACAAGUCUCUAAAGUAUUGCAAUUGAUUCACAAGAAAAACAUAAGUCUCAAAUGACCUUGUUUCUAGAAUAGAACUAAAUCAUAAAUAGGAGUAAAAAGGUCUGUUGAGAUGACAAACAGCUACCUCACAAAUCUCCAAGAAGCCUCAGAAAAUAAGAGAAUAUACCACAAAGGUCCGGGCUAGUAACCUACAAAAAAAUGUAGUAGCAAGGGGUGCGUACCAAAUCACGCGGUACUCAACAAGUAAACUUCUAAACACAAGCUAAGGGGAUAGAAUACGGGUACUCCUUACACCCAACCGAACCUCCACAACUACAACCUACAUAAAAUCAGCCCAACUUAACAGUUCACAAUUCACAUAGCACAUAUCUCAACAACAACAUUCUAACAAUCACAUAUUCUCAACAACAAGCUCAAUAUUCAUCAAUUACAAUCUCCACGACUACAAACCUGCUUAAAACCAGCCCAACCUAACAGUCCAUAAUUCACAUAGCACACAACUCAACAACAACACUCUAACAAUUACAUAUCCUCAGCAACAAGCCCAAUAUUCACCAAUCAAAAUUCCACAGAAAGGCACUCACAAGAUCAGCAAAACACAAUAUCAAGUUCACUAAUGAUAAAUAUGUGCAAUGCAAUGUUAAGUAUAGUGAUGCAUGUCUGACCUAGUGAUACACACCCGCUGUCUCUCAGUCUGGGACCCAUGGGGGACAUAUACACACCCAUUCACAAAAGAAUCUUUCCAUGUGCUUAACUAUAAAAAUUGAUCUUUAGACAUCGGGUACCCAUCAAGAGAGGAUCACACUUAUCUAACACAAAAAGGAAAUGAUCAAGUAAACACCCAACAAGCGAUACCCUUAAAAUGUAGAACCACUAACAACACUCUUAGAUAGUUGUAACUCUUCAUAGCUCUUAUAUAAGUUCUCAUAAGCAAUGUUAUGCGUAUAGAACUACUGAUAUACUUCAACUAUCCCAAACAACACCAAAUUUAUCAUAACUGAAAUGACCAAGUCUUUCCAAGGAUCAUACCCUAUCAAGAGGGCACAAGAGGAUCGGUACAUCCGAUCCACCACUAGGGAUUCACCCAUAGAUGUGGAAACACGAGUAGCAUAAGCGGUGAAUCAUACUCCAAAUAAUAUCCAGUAUGAAGAAGGUGGUUACAUAAGAAUAUACAGAAGCAAGGUCGAAUAACACAAGAUACUUCUUUCAUAGUGCCCAUAUAAAUAAAAUUCUAUUCAUCCGACUCUAUCUCUCGAUUUUUUAGCUACCAACAAUCAACCAGAAUGACCCCAUUACAAUAUUACAAAUACGAGAUUCAUCAAACCCCACAUACUUCUCACAGUACUCCAUCGAAUCUAACACUCUUAAUACCAACAAACAUCAUAACUACACCAGUCAUUUACCUUACUCUCAAACUGUCACUAGUAUCAAAGUAUUCUUAUCAAAUACAUUAGCGUCUCUAAAUUUUCAAACUGUGGCGCCCUCUCUUUCCAAAUAAGCAUUUUAGGACAAAUACGGGUCCCACCCAAGGCUACACUAAUUUCGAAUCUAAAAGAAUUUUCCCAUCAACAUAAAGUUGUUUCAAUCCCCUCAAAAUCCUCAUUAAUCGUAUAAAAUAGUAGGUCCACACCGUUGAACAUCAAUAAGUUACCUAUCAUAAUUUGAACAAUCUAGCUCGACAUAACCAUAUAAAAUCUUUCACACAUCACUGCUUGUCACCCAAACAAAAUCUCAAUACUUAGAAAAGUCGAUGAUACAUUCCUAGUAAGUCUGUACCAAACUAGUUCACAUCUCACAGUCAUAUCUAAACUCAUAGGCAAAAAUCAAUAAAUCCUUCAACUACAAACCAAGGGCUUAUACGAGAGGUUUGUUCCUUCACUCUUCUUAAAUUCUUCCCAUGACACAAAAUUCUAAAUAUCUUUAACCCUUCAAUACACUAGACUCUUGUUCCUUUUGUUGACUCGCUUACGCCAAUCUUAUCAUUUGACCAACAACCCAUGAUAUUUUUACCUUAUCCUCUAAAUCAAAACAUUACGUGAAACCCCCCUUAGGUAUAACAAUCAAAAGUAACCAAAUUUACUACUCAAAUUAUUUUUAAGUCCUUCCAAAUGCUUCAUACUCAAUGCGAUCGAUCAUUUCUUACCUUAACAAUCCAUACCUUGAUAAAACACACUACCACAAACCUAAACUCACAUGAAAAACUUGAAUUUUGAUUUCAACUAUGUAGCCCAAUCACAUUAUCUAUCAACAUUAGCUCAUACAUUAAAUAUUUUUAUGAAUUCAUGUAUCUAAGUUUAUCAUUGAUCGUCUCUCUAUCGACUUUAUCAUAUCUUUUGCUAAAAAUUCAACCAUACUCAUUAUCAAACUCAGAACCACAAAAGAACUUAUCAUCACACUCGAACUGAACGUCUAUACACUCCUUUCUCAAGUUUUAUCCAGUACUUUUUAACCAAUUGAUGAACCCGUGACACUAGUUCCAUAACCAGAACAAAAUGAAUGAAACCACGCGUCUCUGAACUCAGUUCUCAAUACCUUUGAAGAUGCCUGUUUAGCCCUUGCAAUAAGAGAAAAUAUACUUACUCUCACCUCUUUCUGAAGGCUCCACUAUAUCCCACUCUUUUUCAUUAUGACUCUAGCUACUUUAAAUUUUAUCCGAGCGAAGUCCCUACAUAUUCUUAGACUUUCCAUACAACCACAUUACUCACCAAAUAAUGGAAAACCACAACAUUACAUACUUACUAGUCGUUAUUACCAUACAAAAUUCGUUUAACAAACAAUCCUUAUUAUAUAGUUGCAUAUCAGUCAGAGUCCAUCACGAAUUCUUAUUACCAUCAUGCUCUUGUCAUCACCACAAAGUCAACUUUGUCAUCGACGUGACAUCUCAAACCUAAUUAUACCAAUCAAAUUCAAAGGACUAACCCACUUUUAUAUGCACUUUUUACUAAAAUCUUCAAUUACCUUCACACAAGUAUACUUUUUGGGACUUCCCUUAUCCAUAAGAUGAAAUCAUCGGUCCUCAUCUAGAAUCCUCUAGAUAUACUUCACAACCUAAAUACAUUAAUAUCAAAACAAAGAUCCACCACUAAAACACAUCAUACCUGUCGAGAAGAUUGUACCCAAAUCUUACGUAUUUCUAUCCGUUGAAUAACAACAAAACAUUAUCAAAUUCGUUCUGUCUCUAGCCCAAGCGAUAUGCAUUCUUUCAUAAAUCAGAUCUAUAGCAGAAGUAACACACCCCACAACUCUAACCAAGUAGGCAUCAGUACUGUUGUAGUAGUCAUAUCAUGAUCCUCUUAAAUAUAUACCCAAUCUAUAAAAUCGUAGUAGAGAUUCUCACCUCGUUUAUCACAACAUCAUUCUCAUCAUACACUAAACAACCCAUACUUAUACAACUUUAUACAAAUUUAUUAACUGUAAUUUCCGAAGUCACACUGUUCAUUUCCUAUCCAUCAUUUUAACUAUUCCACUUUCAAUUAUCGAACCAAUCAAGAUAUUGCCUAUACCACACAAGUACUAUUCCCUCUAUUAGGGUAACUAACCAAAAGAAAUAACCACAUUCAUAAAAUCUCCAAACAUUUGUUCAAAAUCAUCACCAAAUAUCCUCAAAAUGCAUCAUCGAGCCAUCACCUAACUCAACCCCUUCAAAUUACUAAACAUUUCGAAUCUGACUACACAUCAUUUUCAUAAGUCUAUUAUUUCCACCUUAAUACCAAACUUAACAUUCAAACCAUACACGACAUCAACUACUAACAUGAGAAACCACGCACGAGUCAUCACUGUAAGUGAAAGUGAAUGAAGUGAAGCGAUAAGAAUUAAAAUCGGACCAAGUACAAACGAUAGAGAUCCAAAAAGUGAAGAUUUUUCCUAAAAGUCACUAUAGCCUCUCGAAGAUAAGUACAGACGUCUCCGUACCAAUCCUCGAGACUCUACUUAGACUCGACUUGUACACAUGUGAGACCUAUGAACCUGGGGCUCUGAUACCAUUUUGUCACAACCCAAAAAUGAACGUGAUGACACUCGUCUUAUCCCACCAAGACAAGUUAGCCUAAAACUCAACCAUUACAAAAAAAAUGCGGAAAUUUCAUAAUUAACUCAAAAAAUACUCCCAAAAUCUGGUUGUCACGUGUACAAGNNNNNNNNNNNNNNNNNNNNNNNNNNNNNNNNNNNNNNNNNNNNNNNNNNNNNNNNNNNNNNNNNNNNNNNNNNNNNNNNNNNNNNNNNNNNNNNNNNNNNNNNNNNNNNNNNNNNNNNNNNNNNNNNNNNNNNNNNNNNNNNNNNNNNNNNNNNNNNNNNNNNNNNNNNNNNNNNNNNNNNNNNNNNNNNNNNNNNNNNNNNNNNNNNNNNNNNNNNNNNNNNNNNNNNNNNNNNNNNNNNNNNNNNNNNNNNNNNNNNNNNNNNNNNNNNNNNNNNNNNNNNNNNNNNNNNNNNNNNNNNNNNNNNNNNNNNNNNNNNNNNNNNNNNNNNNNNNNNNNNNNNNNNNNNNNNNNNNNNNNNNNNNNNNNNNNNNNNNNNNNNNNNNNNNNNNNNNNNNNNNNNNNCUAACAGUUCACAAUUCACAUAGCACAUAUCUCAACAACAACAUUCUAACAAUCAUAUAUUCUCCACAACAAGCUCAAUAUUCAUCAAUUACAACCUCCACAACUACAACCUGCUUUAAAUCAACCCAACCUAACCGUUCAUAAUUCAGAUAGCACACAACUCAACAACAACACUCUAACAAUUACAUAUCCUCAGCAAUAAGCUCAAUAUUCACCAAUCAAAAUUCCACAGAAAGGCACUCACAAGAUCAGCAAUACACAAUAUCAAGUUCACUAAUGAUAAAUAUGUGCAAUGCAAUGGAAUGCAAUUUCAAGUAUAGUGAUGCAUGUCUGACCUAGUGAUAUACACCCGUUGUCUCUCAGUCCGGGACCCAUGGGGGACAUCCAUGCAUUCAUCGCGGCGCGCAAUAAGUCCCUCGAUAUAUAGUAUCCAUCGCGGCGCGCGAUACGUCCCUCGAAAUAUAGUAUCCAUUGCGGCGCGCGAUACGUCCCUCGAAAUGGUACAUCCUCUUAUCACAUAACACUUAUCACAACCAUGUCUCAGAACCAAUGCAAAUGACAUGUUCACACAAAUGAUGAGGAGAUGACCAUUUUCAUAAUACACAAUUCUACAACAAUACAACUGUGAUACAAUAUCAACAAUGAUUCAACAAGCCUUUCAACUCAAUCUCAAACAUCACAUAUCAACAAUUAAACACAUUACCUUUUAUUACCCCUUUUUCAUCAUUAGAAAAUAAUCAAUAUGUACAAGUCAACCCAUCACCAAGUCUCAUUAUCCCCAAACACAUAUCACAAGGAAAUACACGAAUUCCAUACACUUAACAAGGGUUUAGAAAUUCACUUGCCUCAAUUAAUUCGCAAUUCACUCUGAGACUUGAGCCUUUCCUUUUCGUUGACCUUCCAAAUCAAUGCAAUCUAUUCAAGUACAUAGUCACAAUAAGAUUCCGAAACUAACAACACUCAUGUUACUAUGAGUUUAGCCUAAACCCAAAAGCUUACCCAAAUUUAUAAUUAAGUUCCUAAGUCCCUUCAAAUACCGUAAAUCUAAUGGCAUCCAUAAAAUACGAUACACCUAAUAUUUAAUUACCUAUUUUAAUAUAUCAAAACUAAAAUUACAAUGUGAUAAUAACAUAAGAAUUAUAGAUUUUCGGAACCACUGGUUACGAAACCAGUGGUGGGAAUCGAUAAAAUCAUGACAUUAAUAUGUCACCUGCAGGUUCCUAACUUUAUAAUAUGAAAUCAUUACUUUAUCCCCACAAUUUUCAAAACCCACCAAGUAUACAACAAUGACAUUAUUCCUUUCCAAGAAAUCAAUUAGGUCUUAAUAUAUAUAAAGUAACAAUCUAAAUCCUUUAGUGAGCAUUCAACAUACUACUUGAAACUGUAGCGUAGCAUGUAUGGAAAAUAAUUAUAUAUAUAUAUAUACUCCUAACAAUUCAAUUCCUUUAAUUUCCAAAAAUUGAUGACAAACCAAAAAGGAAUAUAAUAAUAAUAUUAGCACUGUUUCUUGUCCCUUAUAUGUUCAAAGCCGCCAGAAACAAUGCAGCAACACCAUAUGACUUCACCAUUGCCCACUUUCAAUUUAAUACAACAAAUAUACUAAUAUAAUAAUAUUAUAUAUUGGUUACCUUCACUAAAUUCCAAAAAUCCCCACGAAUCAUCACUACCCACUCUAAUUAAUUUCAUAUAAAAAUUGAAUUUAACAACACAAUCAACGGUUGGAAACCAAAGGUUGUAAGUGUAGAAUUGAACUAAAUUACAACUGAAUUGCUUACUUGAAUGGUGGCGAAGAUCUCUGUGUUUGUGCUCGCCGCAAGCACAGAUGAUUUCUUUCUUCUCUUUUCUAAAUUAAUUAGGUAUUAAAAGUAAUAAUUCUUACUAACCUAUUUUUAAUAUUUCAGACUUGAUCCAUUAUUAUUAAAAAUAAUCAAAUUAUCCGCAAAUUAAUUAACUAUAGUUAAAUAACUAUUCAACAUUAUCAAAAAUGACCUUUCGGGUCAUUAGAAUUAACACGUUCAACAAGUAUCAUGGUAAUCAUGUCUUUAAAGAACUUUAUCGAAUCUGUAUACUCAUUCCCUUGGAAAAUAUCUAGUAUAGUGAUGUAUAUUUUUAUAUUAUUACAUAAGGUCUCUGAUACCAUGUUAAAUUAGGUUUUAGACCUAACUCACACCCCAAAAUCUAGGUCAAAUGGAGGAGAAUUGUCCAAGUCUUAUAAGGAGUCCACACAUCUCAUUAACCAUCAAUGUGGGACUUUUGUCAUUCGUUAACACGGAUGCAUCCCUAUCAUUUGCAAUGUAUCGAACAACCAAGAAAUGUAUCCGAGAGCAACGAAAAAUCCGAGAUUUUUGUAAUUGAAAAAACUUUUGAGAUAAGAUGUAAUUAGCCCCAAAUAUAUGGGGUUCAUAUAUAUAUAUUUCAUGAUCCAAAUUUGAAUCCAAGAACCAAAAGUUAGGGUCACGUGAAGACCAAGAAGAGGGCCGAAAUUUCAGUCCAAAGUGUGUUAAAUUCUCAACCAACAAGGGCUGAAAAUCACGGCACUAUAUAUAAGCCCAAAUAUGAGAUGAAGUCACAUGGGUUUUUGGUGCAAAUUUGCCAAUUUUCCUCUUAUUUUUGUUAGCUAAUUUUAGGUAGAAGUUUGUUAUUAUUUUUAAAUGUUCUCCUAGUUUAAUAGAUUUAUAGAUAGGAAUAAUGAUUGUAUACAAUAAUCUACCCUUUUAAACACAUUUGUAAAAAUAUACAGAAUAUAUUAUUAUCUUUCACUAUAUGUGUCUAAAUAUUAAUUGAAAGUCUCCCUCUUUUGCUAUUUUUUUUUAAUUUUAAAUUCGAAACAUUGAGCAUAAUCUAUACAACUUUUUCAUGGCUAUCAUUGUCUAAAAGGAUAUAAAAUGUUUUUUAACAUAUUUCUUGGUAACUUCUUGUUGUUUAAUUCUACAAGAAUUCUUAUCCUAUAUGAAUUAUUGGCUACAUUUCUUUGAAAUAAUCGAUGAAUUAAUUUUAUUAUAUAAUGCAUUUUGUCAUCACAAACGUCAUCAAUGGUCACAUUUCAAUAAUUUUCUCUUAUAUAAGCUCUCAUUAGUUAAAACCUUACGUUCUACCAUAGAUUAAUUAAUAAAAUUCUAUCUUACACAAAAGAAUUAUGGAAAACUUGAAGAAUGAUUGUCAUGUUCUUUCUUGUAACAUUUCCAGGUCAAGGUCAUAUUAAUCCAUCUCUUCAAUUUGCCAAAAAAUUAGUUAAUUUAGGAAUAAAAGUCACUCUUUUCACUAGCCUAACAGCUUUUAAUCGUAUUUCCAAGCUUCUAAAUAUCGAAGGAUUAAGCUUUACUCCUUUUUUUGAUGACUAUGAUGAAAAAUUUAAAGGAUCACUAGAUGAGAUCGAGUCAUUUUAUUCUUCCCUAUUGAGUCAUGGUUCUGAAUUCGUGACUCAAAUAAUAGAAUCUAGGGCGGCUGAGGGCCGCCCUUUCAAACUUGUCAUUUACACAACCCUUAUGGCAUGGGUUGGUAUAGUGGCUAAGGGCAUUAAUGUCCAUCUACAUUUUUUUGGAUUCAACCCGCCACGGUCUUGGACAUUUAUUAUUACUGCUCCACUGAUGACUAUGCUGAUUGUUUUAAGAAUUGUUCUGAAGAUCAAGUUGUAGAUCUUCCAGGAUUACCUCGACUAAGUCCUCGUGAUUUUCCCGCAUUUGUGUUCACCGAUGUGAAUUCUAAGUAUGGUUGGGGAGUUAAGUCUAUCAUAGACCAAAUUGAGUUAUUGAAUAGUGAAGAAAAUCCAAGAGUACUCGUGAACACUUUUGAUGAUUUGGAAUUUGAUGCUUUGAGGGCAUUGAAGAAUUUAACCGUGGUUGGAAUUGGUCCUUCAAUUCCUUCAGCUUUUCUUGAUGGAAAUGAUCCUUUAUAUAAGUCAUUCGGAGCUGAUUUAAGAUGGAGUUCAGAAAAUUACAUGGAUUGGUUGAAUACAAUGACUAAAGAAUCUGUUAUUUACAUAGCAUUUGGUAGUUACUCUGAGAUAUCAAGUUAAUUGAUGGAGGAAAUAGGUCAAGGAUUGAUAAAAUGUGGAAGACCAUUUUUGUGGGUGAUUAGGGAAGAAAAAGAAAGGGGAUAUCUAGAGGAAAAAUUGACUUGUAAAGAGGAACUAGAAAAACAAGGGAAAAUCGUGCAUUGGUGCUCGCAAGUGGAAGCUAAGUGUUACAACACCCGUCUUUAGGUUGUUUUUUGACUCACUGUGGAUGGAAUUCGACUUUAGAGAGCCUAUCUUUUGGUAUGCCGAUCGUGGCGUGUCCGUUAUGGACCGAUCAAGGUUGCAACGCUAAGUUCGUUCAAGAUGUUUGGAAGAUUGGCGUCCGAGUGAAUGCCAGUGAAGAAGGUGUCGUCGAAAGAGAUGAGUUCGAGAGGUGUAUAGAUAUCGUGAUGGAACAUGGAGAGAAAAGGGAGUAGCUUAAGAAGAAUGCCAAGAAAUGGAAGGAUUUGGCCAAGAAAGCUAUGAAGGAAAAUGGUUCAUCAAAUGUAAAUCUCAAAGCUUAUGCUAAUGAGAUUUUACUCGGUCAUUAAAGACAGUUCGAUGCACAAAAGUUCAAAAAUCCCCAUUCAUACAAAGUCCGAAUCAUUAUAAAAAAUAAAAAAUAAAUACGUAUCGUUCUUUUUGUAAUACCUUAGCCUAUAUAUGUUACAACUUACAUUUACACGUAUUACGUACGCAUAUUAUUUAAACAAUUAUGCAAAUUAAAGAGUAAUUAAGCAUCAUAUUUUGGUUAAUGACAUUAGUUAAGUUUUAGUUUUUGUUUGUAUUUGAAUUGUUAGUACUUUGAGAAUGAUGGACACGUGAUAAAGUCUGUAGAAAUGUGUUAGGUAUAAAGCCAGAUUCAAGUAAUUUUUUAUCAAAAAAAUAAAUAAAAUACACAUUGAUGUCUUAGGUAUAAUGCCGGAUUCAAGUAAUUUUUUAUCAAAAAAAUAAAUAAAAUACACAUUGAUGUCUUAGGUAUAAUGCCGGAUUCAAGUAAUUUUUUAUCAAAAAAAUAAAUAAAAUAAAUAAAAUACACAAUGAUUAAUUAAUUAGUGACAAAAAGUAAAGGCUUAGAAUUCUCUUGAAACAAGAUUAAUGGCUCGGAUGGUAAGUGUCCUUUACCUUCAAUUCUAAUAUUGUGAAGUUAGAGUCACUAAAAAAACAAAAAAGGUGAAAACUCCUAAAGAGUAAUAAAAAAAUAUUAAAAUUCUUCCGAUUCCAAUCCAUAUUACCUAAUUCUUAUCUUUUACAAAUUAAGGGGCUACCUUUUUUUUAAAGAAAAAACAAUAUAUAAAUUGAAUUAGUACAAUAUGUAUGUUGUCAUCACAAAUGUCAUCAAUUACAAUGUCCAAAUAUUUUUAUCUUAUAUAUAAACUCCAAAACCGUACACAUACCAAAUGCAAAGCACUUCAUUAGCAUCAAUAGAAAAAUUCUCUCUUUUCUCUUCCAAAAAAUGGAAAAUCUGAAGAAUGAAAAAUCUCAUGUUCUUAUUGUAAUAUUUCCAGGUCAAGGUCAUAUUAAUCCAUCACUUCAACUAUUCAAACGAUUAAUUAGUUUAGGCAUUAAAGUUACUUUAUCUACAAGUAUAUUAGCUCUCAAUAAAAUAAAAAUACUUUCAAAUAUUGAAGGAUUAAGCUUUGCUCCUCUCUCUGAUGGCUAUGAUGACAAUUUCAAAGGCUCAUUUAAUGAGUUUCAUUCAUAUUAUUCUUCUAUAAAGUCUCAUGGGUCAGAAUUUAUUUUCAGUUUAAUUAAAUCAAAUGCAAAAAAUUGUACUCCUUUUACACAUAUUAUCUACACUGUUAUUAUGGAAUGGGCUGGUUUAGUAGCAAAAGAAUUAACCAUCUACCUUAUUUUGGAUCCAACCAGCCACGAUUUUUGAUAUAUAUUAUUAUAGAUAUACUAAUUUCUGAUUAUUUCAAGAAUUGUGAUUCUAAGGAUAAAAUAAUAGAGUUACCGGGAUUGCCCCCACUUAGUCCAAUUGAUUUUCCUUCUUUUGUGUUUGAUGAUGUGGAGUGUAACAAUUGGGCAGCUGAGUCUAUUAAAAGGCAAAUUGAUAUAUUGAAUAGUGAAGAAAAUCCAAAAAUUCUUGUGAAUACUUUUGAUGAUUUGGAAUUUGAUGCUUUGAGGAUUUUGAAGAAUGUGACUAUGAUUGGAAUUGGGCCUUCAAUUCCAUCAAAUUUUCUUGAUGAUAAUUCUUUUCGAGCUGAUAUGAUUGAGAUUAGUUCAAAGAAUUAUAUGAAUUGGUUGGACAUAAUGACAAAAGGAUCAGUUAUUUAUGUAGCAUUUGGUAGUUACACUGAGACAUCAAGUUAAUUGAUGGAGGAGAUUGGUCAAGGGUUGUUGAAAUGUGGAAGACCAUUUUUAUGGGUGACUGGAGAAGGACAAAUUGAGGAAAAGCUGACUUGCAAAGAUGAAUUGGAAAAGUAGGGAAAGUUAGUGAGUUGGUGCUCGCAAGUGGAAGUUUUGAACACCCUUCUGUUGGUUGCUUUCUGACUCAUUGUGGGUUGAAUUCCACUCUAGAGAGCAUAGCUUCUGGAGUGCCCAUCGUGGCAUGUCCAAUUUGGAACGAUCAACUUUGUAACGCGAAGCUUGUUCAAGAUGUUUGGAAGAAUGGCGUCAGAGUAAAUACUGGUGAUGGAGGUAUUGUUGAAAGAGAUGGAGUUGAGAGGUGUAGUAGAGAUCGUGAUAGGGAGCGGUGAAGAGGGGGGGGGGGGGAAUUGAGAAAGAAUGCCAAGAAAUGGAGCGACUUAGCUAAGGAAGCUAUGAAGAAAAAUGAUUCAUCAGCUAUGAAUCUCAAGACUUAUGCUAAUGAAUUUUUACUUGAUGGAAGUUGGUAAAACAAAUAAAAAUAAUAAAAUCAAGUGUUUUAUUUUCUCGUUUAUAUAAUAGAAUGGUCUGUUUUUAUCUAGAGAGUGAAUAAUGUCACUCAAUCGAUGACGUUAUUAUAUUUUUUUAAGAAAAUGNNNNNNNNNNNNNNNNNNNNNNNNNNNNNNNNNNNNNNNNNNNNNNNNNNNNNNNNNNNNNNNNNNNNNNNNNNNNNNNNNNNNNNNNNNNNNNNNNNNNNNNNNNNNNNNNNNNNNNNNNNNNNNNNNNNNNNNNNCCUCCGUUUUAUUUUUUGUACAAAAAAUAUUUUUAUAGUUAAAACGUAAUUAAAAAAUAUCCUACUCGUUAGUGAAACUAACAUAAAAUUAAGAGCAUUUAUCUAUUCUUUGAAGGAGGGGGAGAAUUAAAAAAUUCAAAAGUUUAACCUCCGUUUUAUUUUUUGUACAAAAAAUAUUUUUAUAGUUAAAACGUAAUUAAAAAAUAUCCUACUCGUUAGUGAAACUAACAUAAAAUUAAGAGCAUUUAUCUAUUCUUUGAAGGAGGGGGAGAAUUAAAAAAUUCAAAAGUUUAACUUCGCUGAAUAAUGUGUGUGUUACUGUAUGUGUGUUGUUGGUGUAACAUUUUUUGGUUUUUACAUUGGUUUAAUAUAUUCAUCUUUAUUCAUAUGGUCACACCUACUCUCUGUCACUUUGGUAGAUUUUCCAAUGCCCAAAGUAAUACCAAUUAACUUGAAAAGACGUAUUGAAACACUCCUAAAUUAGGCGUGAAUUAUUAGUUUUAUCUUUGAACUAUUGACAAUCUAAAAAACAUCUCUUUAUUCGACUAACUGAACUUAAAUAUGCCCCUAAUCUUGCAUCAUGAGUGAAAUGCAUUCCUAAAUUCUUGUCAAGUAUAAGAGUGUUUUUAAUACUUCUUUCGGCUUUUUAUCAAGAGUCACAUGCUCCCACAAGAGUGUGAAACCACUUGGUAUGUCAUGUGACUGGUCAGGAAUGAUCAGAGGUGUAUCUAAAUUUAGUUAGUCAAGUAAAAGAGUGUUUUUAAGGUUGUCAAUAGUUUAGGAACGAAAUUAAUAAUUUAUACAUAAUUUGUUCAAUACUUCUCUCAAUUAACUUAUAUUUAUGUGUUUGAUAUGAUAAAAAAAAUUGGUGAGCAAAAAUAUAUAUAAUCUUUUUUUGAAAAUAUAUUUUAAUUAUUAUUAUUAAUAAUAAUAAUAGCCUAUCGAAAACUGUUUUGACCUAAUUAUUCUUUAGCAUUAAAGAUGAUGAGAAUUAAAUAUUGUUGAAGUGAAUAGUAUGAAGUUAAUACUAUUCUCAUUAAUUUUUAUAACUUCUGUGUCUCAUCAAUUGCACACUUCCUUUCACAUGCGGGUUUAAUUUUAUAUAUAUAACCACCCUUUUUAAUAAUGAGUGACCGUGAAAUUCAAGUAAUAUAUAAUUAUUCUUAUACUAUAUAUAUUGAAGUAUAUGUUAUCUCAUCAAAUUACUUAACUACGUGUCGUAUAUGUUAUCUCAUCAAAGAACUUAACUACGCUAUUAAAAAGAACAUAUUUUAUUGAUUUAAUUAUAUUUUCAAAUAAUAUUAUGUUUAAGUUUUUGAUAUAUUUAUUAAUUUUGGUAACAACUAAAUUCGUAGUCAUUACUUUUUGUAAUUUGCUCAAAAUAAAUCUUGCUCUAAUAUAAUAAUACACAAAUUAUUUAUAAGUAUAAAUUACACUAAACACACCAUAUAACAAAUUUGAUGGAGAAAUACUGUCACGACCCAAAAAUGGACGUGAUGGCACUCGUCUUAUCCCACCAAGACAAGUCAGCCAAAAACUCAACCAUUACAAUAAAAUACAAAAAAUUUAUAAUCAACUCAAAAAUACCCCCAAAAUCUGGUUGUCACGCAUACAAGCCUCUAAAGUAUUACAAUUGAUUCAAAAGAAAAACACAAGUCUCUAAUGACCUUGUUUCUAGAAUAGAACAAGAUCACAUAUAGGAGUAAAAAGGUCCGCUGAAAUGACAAGCAGCUACCUCACAAACCUCCACAAGAAGCCUCAGACAAGGAGAAGAGAAAAUAUCGCAAAGGUGCGGGCUAGUAACCUACAAAAAAAUGUAGUAGCAAGGGGUGAGUACCAAACCACACGGUACUCAGCAAGUAAACCUCUAAACACACGCUAAGGGAACAGAAUACAGGUACUCCUUACACCCCAUCCAAACCUCCAUAACUACAACCUGCAUAAAACCAGCCCAAUCUAACAACUCACAGUUUACACAACACAUAGCUCAACAACAACACUUUAACAAAUUACAUAUCCUCAACAACAACACUUUAACAAAUUACAUGUCCUCACCAACAAGCUCAGUAUUCAUCAACCACAAGUUCCACAAAAAGGCACUACGUCCCUCGAUAAUAGAAUCCAUCGUGCAUAUGACACGUCCCUUAUAUUAUAGUAUCUUUCAUAGCACAUGACACGUCCGUUGAAAUGGUACAUCCUCUUAAAUUUAUUAUUAUUCCUCAAUUCACAUAACACUUUGUCACAACGAUGUCUCAGAACCAAUGAAAAUGACAUGUUCACAUAAAUAAUGAGAAGAUGAACAUUUUCAUAACAUUGCACAAUUCACAACAACACAAUCAUGAUACAACAUGAACAAUGAUUCAACAUGUCUUUCAAACCAUUCUCAACACAUCACAGACAAACAAUUAAUCACAUUGCCUUUUAUUACCCUUUUUUUCAUCAUUAGAAUUAAUCAACAUGGACAAGUCAACCCAUCACCAAGUCUCAUUACUCCCCAACACAUACCACAAGGAAAUACACGAAUUCCGUACACUUAACAAGGGUUUAGAAAUCCACUUGCCUCAAUCAAUCAAGAAUUCACUCCGGGACUUGAGUCUUCCCUUUUCGUUGAACUUCCAAUUCAAAGCAAUCUAUUCAAAUAAAUGACCACGAUAAGAUUUCAAAACUAACAACAUUCAUAUGGCUAUAUGUCUAGCUUAGACCCAAAACUUACCCGAAUUUAUAACAAAGUUUCUAAAUCUUGAUUCCAACCAAUAGGUCAAAUCUCAUAUUUUCUGAAUUUCAAUUCUAGACUUAAGUCCCAAUUUCUCCAAUAUCACAACUCUAAUGGUAUUUAUAUGAUAAAGGAUACCUGGUAUUUAAUUUACCAAUUAUAACAUGUCAAAAUCUUUAACUUUUAAGGUGAUAAUCACAGAAAAUUUCUCUAGUCGAACCAAGAACAUGUCCAGUAAACGUGAAAGACCUUACCCUCUCGUCAAACUAAUCCAUAUUAUAUAUAUUAUAUAUAUAACAAUCAUUAUUUCCUCAAUUUUCAACAUUUACAUCAUUAGCCAAUGACUACCAUUGACUGCUUGUUCCCCACUAAAUUGAUAAUUGCUGCCGACGGCAGUAAGGAAGUGAAUUUAACCAUUUUAAUUUGGAUUUUCUCUUUCCCCACACAUCAGUGAUAUAAUCUAAUAGUAAUACUAUUUCAUUCACACUUAACGAAUAUAGAUUUUUGAGCGAAAUUAUACCUGUUGCAAUCACGCUUCGUUCUUGUUGUUGUGCCGUUCAAAUCGUGUCAAGCGGCUACCGAUUGCGUUAUGAGUAAAACUUAAAUCUCCUUGUAAUUUAAUUCAGUACAUGGGUUAAGUGGUAUAGGGUUUAAUUAUGGACUUGACCCAUUAACCACCAACUAAAUAAUUAUUUAAAAGAAUACCUAUUAGUUAAAUAACCGUAGUUAUUGAAUAGUUUAAAAUUUUCAAACCAACUUCUUCGACUAAUCCUAAGUGACUCGAGGCAUCUAUUGGGAGGGGUGAAACGGUAAUCUUAUAGAAAUUUCAAAAAAAAAAAUAUUUUUUUCGGGUUAUUACAAAUACAUGCAGAUGGCAUUGAACUACGACCUCCUUUAUCACGAUGAAUAUAUUAACUUUACACGGCACUACGUACGUACCUUCUACAACUGUGACAAAUUCACAAGUUGCAAAAUAAAACAAAUUAUUAUUCCUUCUUAAAAUAUUCUUAGAAAUACUUUAAAAAUCAAUAAAUUUUAUAAGUUUUUGAUAUAAAAUUUAAAUACUUAAAAACUUGCUUAAAUUUUAAAAUUCGAUAAGUAUCACAUCAAUUAAGACGAAAGAAACAACCACUUAAAAGUUGAAAAUUUGACUAAUGAAGUAAUUACUUGGAAGCUGAAAGUUCUCUUGAAUAUUCCCACAUCAUCUUGUCAACCUCGAAGAGCAACUUUGUAACUAGUGGUAUAAAAUACUACUCUCUUCAUUUCAUAUUAAUUAAAUUUUUGAGACAUUUUUCAUUUUUCAAAUUAAUUUAAUUGUUCAGUUUUCAAGACUACUUUUAGAGUGUUCUUCUAAUUUUACCCUUCAUUUAGAUUUUCAAUGUGAUGACUUUAAUAAAUUUGACAAUAAUUAAUAAGGGCAAAUUAAAUAUGAAAAACUAUGUUCAAUUUGUGUCUUAAUCUACUUUUUUUAAAGGGUGUGAAACACCACAAAAAUUCAAUUAACAUAGAUUGGAGAGAGUAUAAGAUAAUGCAUUUAUUUUAUUUAAAAUAAAUAAAAUGACAGCUAUUUACGUUACCCAGAAAAGAACAAAUUGACUUUAGUCAGCACAGACGUCGUUAAUCUAAUUAUUAGUAAAUACAAAAAUAAAACUACAUACUCCAAUCAAGUAGUACUAUAUAUAUAUACACUAUUGGCAAUGUAAACGUAAAUCAUGUAACAAAAAAUAAAUAAAUAAAAUUCUCUUCCUUUACUUUUGAACCAUAUAAAAAUAGAUUUAGAACUUAAAUUUUAAAAAAAUUUAAUUGAUAAUACUUACAGAAAAUCGAUUUGAAUAAUGCUAUUCAAGUCAUAGUGGCAAGAUUGAAGUAAAAAAAAAAAAGAAAUUGCAUUUUAUUUUAUUUAGUUCAUUAUUUAGCUCAAAUUAUAUCCAAAUUAAGUUAAAAUUUACAAUGUCAAUAACUAAAAUAUAGAGUUUUUUUUUUUAAAAAAAGAGAACAUUAUAUAUAUUGAUCCAUAGCAUUUAAUGCCAUAAAAUUUCCGCUAAUAAAAGAAAGAGAACAGCAUUCCAUGUGGUGGUCAAUACAUAUUUGGUGUAUCAUGUGACAAUUAUUAAUAACGAAUUUAAAAUUUAAAUUUUAUAAAUUUGAAAUUAACUUAUUAUAUUUUUAAAGUAACAAAUCCAUAAUUACUAGUAUAUUUAUUACAAUUUGAAUAAUAUUUUAUAUAUAAAUUAAUUUUUUUAUGUUAAAAAUAUUAGAUUCAGAUGAACUCGAUACUAUGAAGUUAGAUCAGCCCGUGAUAGAUGCAUCAAAAUCCAUGCUCAACUUCAAUCUCUACAUUGUAUCUGGCUAUCUUAGAUUAGGCAGUAGCUUGCCAGAAAUUUUUAUUUUUAUAAUAAUUGAAUUAAAAUAAUAAUAAUGAUAACAGAAACAUAUCCAAGACAACUCAUGUCAUGCAUGACAAAUUCUGAAAUUGGGCUUACUGGCUACUGCAUGAAAGGUAUUGCUCACUAACAAAUAUAAAAUACUAGUGCCCACAACGAUGUGAUGGAGUUGUGAGAUUACUGUCUUUAGUUAGAGGUUUCGAUUUUUAAUUUUAGAUAUGGAGAAAAUUUUAUUAGGAGUAUCACUCCCAAAUGAGCUUUGCAUUGCAUGAUUUGAAUUUAGGCGAAGCUCCAGCGGUGAGAAAUUACUAAACACAAUACAUACAAUAGUAGAAUUUAUUUAUUUUCUUGCGUCAAUUUGUUUGUCUUUUUUUAGACCGUUUGAUAAAAGUGUCUUUUUUCCUUUUUGGUAAUUAUUUAAUUUUUUAUUCUUUUACGUGAUAUAUUUAAGAUUAGAGAAUUAAAGAACGUUUUAGUACAUAUAUUUAAUUUAAGAUUUUAAAACUUAAAGGUCUUAUUUUCUUUUGUAAAUUACGUAUCAAAUUUAAAUUAGUUAAGUAAAUAAAAACAAAAUAUUUGUUUUGCAAGUAAGAUAAAUAGUCACUCUGCUGUCCAUCUGGUGUUUUUUUUAUAGUAUUAAAUAAAUUAAAAGAAAGAAACAAAAAGGAAGUACCGGCAAAAUUUGUCUUCUCAUCAAUUUCGUCACCUCAAACGUCAUAUGACAUGCAUGUGUUUAAAUUUGGUCCUCAAACACGUUACUCAAACGUAGAAAUGGACAUGAUACGAUAGAUAUCAAAAUUUUCAAUAUCGUAAUAUGCUCACCCCUACAAACUCCUUAUAUAUAUAUCCCUCUAACUAUCAUCAUAUAUACCACACAAUUAUUAAGAGUUAUCAUAAUAUAUACCACACAAUAAUUAAGAGACUUACAAGUCAAAGAUUUCUCUCACACAAUACUAAAGUCUACUUUCAUUCAUUUGUCCUCGAACUUUGAACUUAGGUUCUAUUUUUAAGUUUGUGAGUGUAAAAAUGGUGCAACCCCAUGUCCUCUUGGUGACAUUUCCCGCACAAGGUCAUAUCAAUCCAUCUCUUCAAUUUGCCAAGAGGCUAAUCAAAAUGGGCAUUGAGGUGACAUUCACCACUAGCGUUUUCGCCCAUCGUCGUAUGGCGAAAACUGCAGCUUCCAACGCACCCAAGGGCUUAAACUUGGCGGCAUUCUCUGACGGAUUUGAUGAUGGUUUCAAGUCUAACGUGGAUGAUUCUAAACGUUACAUGUCGGAGAUAAGAAGUCGUGGGUCCCAAACAUUAAGGGAUAUCAUUCUGAAGAGUUCAGACGAGGGACGUCCUGUCACGUCCCUCGUCUACACUCUUCUGCUACCUUGGGCAGCUGAGGUAGCGCGUGAACUCCACAUUCCAUCCGCGUUACUAUGGAUUCAACCAGCAACUGUGCUAGACAUAUACUACUAUUACUUCAAUGGCUAUGAGGAUGAAAUGAAGUGUAGCUCAAAUGAUCCAAAUUGGAGUAUCCAAUUACCAAGGCUUCCAUUACUAAAAAGCCAAGAUCUUCCAUCCUUUUUAGUUUCAUCUAGCUCAAAAGAUGAUAAGUAUAGUUUUGCUCUACCGACAUUUAAAGAGCAACUAGACACAUUAGAUGGUGAAGAAAAUCCAAAGGUACUUGUGAAUACAUUUGAUGCAUUAGAGCUAGAGCCACUCAAAGCUAUUGAAAAAUACAAUUUAAUUGGAAUUGGACCAUUGAUUCCUUCAUCAUUCUUGGGUGGAAAAGAUUCAUUGGAAUCUUCAUUUGGUGGUGAUCUUUUUCAAAAGUCAGAUGAUGACUACAUGGAAUGGUUAAACACAAAACCUAAAUCAUCAAUUGUUUAUAUCUCAUUUGGGAGUCUAUUAAAUUUAUCAAGAAACCAAAAGGAGGAGAUUGCAAAAGGGUUGAUAGAGAUUAAAAGGCCAUUCUUAUGGGUAAUAAGAGAUCAAGAAAAUAUAAAAGAAGUAGAAAAAGAAGAAGAGAAAUUAAGUUGCAUGAUGGAAUUAGAGAAGCAAGGGAAAAUAGUACCAUGGUGUUCACAACUUGAAGUCUUAACACAUCCAUCUUUAGGAUGUUUUGUCUCGCACUGUGGAUGGAAUUCGACUCUGGAGAGCCUGUCGUCAGGCGUACCUGUGGUGGCAUUUCCUCAUUGGACAGAUCAAGGGACUAAUGCAAAGUUGAUUGAAGAUGUUUGGAAGACAGGUGUCAGGAUGAGAGUGAGUGAAGAUGGUGUGGUUGAGAGUGAAGAGAUAAAAAGGUGCAUAGAAAUUGUAAUGGAUGGUGGAGAAAAAGGAGAAGAAAUGAGAAAGAAUGCACAAAAAUGGAAAGAAUUGGCAAGAGAAGCUGUGAAAGAAGGUGGAUCUUCAGAAGUGA